UUGUUGGUAAGGUAAAAGCUUACCAAGGCUUCGAUCAGUAGCUGGUCUGAGAGGACGACCAGCCACACUGGGACUGAGACACGGCCCAGACUCCUACGGGAGGCAGCAGUGGGGAAUUUUGGACAAUGGGGGCAACCCUGAUCCAGCCAUGCCGCGUGAGUGAAGAAGGCCUUCGGGUUGUAAAGCUCUUUCAGCCGGAACGAAACGGUUACGGAUAACACCCGUGACUACUGACGGUACCGGAAGAAGAAGCACCGGCUAACUACGUGCCAGCAGCCGCGGUAAUACGUAGGGUGCGAGCGUUAAUCGGAAUUACUGGGCGUAAAGCGUGCGCAGGUGGUUUUGUAAGUCAGAUGUGAAAGCCCCGGGCUCAACCUGGGAACUGCGUUUGAAACUACAAGACUAGAGUGUGGCAGAGGGGGGUGGAAUUCCGCGUGUAGCAGUGAAAUGCGUAGAGAUGUGGAGGAACACCGAUGGCGAAGGCAGCCCCCUGGGUCAACACUGACGCUCAGGCACGAAAGCAUGGGGAGCAAACAGGAUUAGAUACCCUGGUAGUCCAUGCCCUAAACGAUGUCAACUAGUUGUCGGGCCUUUACGGGCUUGGUAACGUAGCUAACGCGCGAAGUUGACCGCCUGGGGAGUACGAUCGCAAGAUUAAAACUCAAAUGAAUUGACGGGGACCCGCACAAGCGGUGGAUUAUGUGGAUUAAUUCGAUGCAACGCGAAAAACCUUACCUACCCUUGACAUGUAUCGAAGCCCGCAGAAAAGCGGGGGUGCCCGAAAGGGAACGAUAACACAGGUGCUGCAUGGCUGUCGUCAGCUCGUGUCAUGAGAUGUUGGGUUAAGUCCCGCAACGAGCGCAACCCUUGUCAUUAAUUGCCAUCAUUUAGUUGGGCACUUUAAUGAGACUGCCGG
rnacentral:rRNA from 1 species